rnacentral:rRNA from 1 species
CAAGUCGAACGGCAGCACGGGAGCAAUCCUGGUGGCGAGUGGCGAACGGGUGAGUAAUAUAUCGGAACGUGCCCAGUCGUGGGGGAUAACGUAGCGAAAGCUACGCUAAUACCGCAUACGAUCUACGGAUGAAAGCGGGGGAUCGCAAGACCUCGCGCGAUUGGAGCGGCCGAUAUCAGAUUAGCUAGUUGGUGGGGUAAAAGCUCACCAAGGCGACGAUCUGUAGCUGGUCUGAGAGGACGACCAGCCACACUGGAACUGAGACACGGUCCAGACUCCUACGGGAGGCAGCAGUGGGGAAUUUUGGACAAUGGGCGCAAGCCUGAUCCAGCAAUGCCGCGUGCAGGAUGAAGGCCUUCGGGUUGUAAACUGCUUUUGUACGGAACGAAACGGUCCUUUCUAAUACAAGGGGCUAAUGACGGUACCGUAAGAAUAAGCACCGGCUAACUACGUGCCAGCAGCUGCGGUAAUACGUAGGGUGCAAGCGUUAAUCGGAAUUACUGGGCGUAAAGCGUGCGCAGGCGGUUAUAUAAGACAGAUGUGAAAUCCCCGGGCUUAACCUGGGACCUGCAUUUGUGACUGUAUAGCUAGAGUACGGUAGAGGGGGAUGGAAUUCCGCGUGUAGCAGUGAAAUGCGUAGAUAUGCGGAGGAACACCGAUGGCGAAGGCAAUCCCCUGGACCUGUACUGACGCUCAUGCACGAAAGCGUGGGGAGCAAACAGGAUUAGAUACCCUGGUAGUCCACGCCCUAAACGAUGUCAACUGGGUUGUUGGGU